rnacentral:rRNA from 1 species
GAUAUCCUACGGGAGGCAGCAGUGGGGGAUAUUGCACAAUGGGGGAAACCCUGAUGCAGCGACGCCGCGUGAGCGAUGAAGUAUUUCGGUAUGUAAAGCUCUAUCAGCAGGGAAGAAAAUGACGGUACCUGACUAAGAAGCCCCGGCUAACUACGAGCCAGCAGCCGCGGUAAUACGUAGGGGGCAAGCGUUAUCCGGAUUUAAUGGGUGUAAAGGGAGCGUAGACGGCAGUGCAAGUCUGAAGUGAAAGGCAAGGGCUCAAACAUUGGACUGCUUUGGAAACUGUGCUGCUCGAGUGUCGGAGG